UUACCCAAUCCUGAUACAGGGAGGUAGUGACAAGAAAUAAAAUGUAAGUACCAACUGGUAUUUUACUAUUGGAAUGAGUAGAAUUUAAAUCUCUUUUCGACUAUCAAUUGGAGGGCAAGUCUGGUGCCAGCAGCCGCGGUAAUUCCAGCUCCAAUAGCGUAUAUUAAAGUUGUUGCGGUUAAAAAGCUCGUAGUUGGAUUUCUGUUAGGGACGACCGGUCCGCACUAUGUGCGUGUAUCUGGUUCGGCCUUGGCAUCCUCCUGGGGAACGGUGCUGCGCUUGAUUGCGAGGUCCGGUAUUCAGGACUUUUACUUUGAGGAAAUUAGAGUGUUUACGGCAGGCAAUCGCCUUGAAUACAUUAGCAUGGCAUAAUAAAAUAGGACCUCGGGUCUAUUUUGUUGGUUUCUAGAUCUGAGGUAAUGAUUAAUAGGGAUAAUUGGGGGCACUCGUAUUAACACGUCAGAGGUGAAAUUCUUGGAUUGUGUUACGACGAACUACUGCGAAAGCAUUUGCCAAGGAUGUUUUCAUUGAUCAAGAACGAAAGUGCGGGGAUCGAAGACGAUUAGAUACCGUCGUAGUCUGCACCAUAAACUAUGCCAACUAGAGAUUGGAGGUCGUUCUUUUUAUGACUCCUUCAGCACCUUAUGAGAAAUCAAAGUCUUUGGGUUCCGGGGGGAGUAUGGUCGCAAGGCUGAAACUUAAAGGAAUUGACGGAAGGGCACCACCAGGAGUGGAGCCUGCGGCUUAAUUUGACUCAACACGGGAAAACUUACCAGGUCCAGACAUAG
rnacentral:rRNA from 1 species